rnacentral:rRNA from 1 species
GCAUAUUCAAUAAGCGGAGGAAAAGAAACCAACAGGGAUUGCCCUAGUAACGGCGAGUGAAGCGGCAACAGCUCAAAUUUGAAAUCUGGCCCUCGGGUCCGAGUUGUAAUUUGUAGAGGAUGCUUUUGGUGCGGUGCCUUCCGAGUUCCCUGGAACGGGACGCCAUAGAGGGUGAGAGCCCCGUCUGGUCGGAUACCAAUCCUCUGUAAAGCUCCUUCGACGAGUCGAGUAGUUUGGGAAUGCUGCUCUAAAUGGGAGGUAUAUGUCUUCUAAAGCUAAAUACCGGCCAGAGACCGAUAGCGCACAAGUAGAGUGAUCGAAAGAUGAAAAGCACUUUGAAAAGAGGGUUAAACAGUACGUGAAAUUGUUGAAAGGGAAGCGCUUGUGACCAGACUUGGGCAUGGUUAAUCAUCCAGCGUUCUCGCUGGUGCACUUGGCCUGCCCAGGCCAGCAUCAGUUCGGCGCGGGGGAUAAAGGCUUCGGGAAUGUGGCUCCUCCGGGAGUGUUAUAGCCCGUUGCGCAAUACCCUGCGCUGGACUGAGGUUCGCGCAUCUGCAUGGAUGCUGGCGUAAUGGUCAUCAGCGACCCGUCUUGAAACACGGACCAAGGAGUCGUCCUCGUAUGCGAGUGUUCGGGUGUUAAACCCCUACGCGUAAUGAAAGUGAACGCAGGUGAGAGCUUCGGCGCAUCAUCGACCGAUCCUGAUGUUCUCGGAUGGAUUUGAGUAAGAGCAUACGGGGCCGGACCCGAAAGAAGGUGAACUAUGCCUGUAUAGGGUGAAGCCAGAGGAAACUCUGGUGGAGGCUCGCAGCGGUUCUGACGUGCAAAUCGAUCGU